GGGCCCGCACAAGCGGUGGAGCAUGUGGUUCAAUUCGACGCAACGCGAAGAACCUUACCCAGGCUUGAACAGCGAGUGACCAGCUCCGAAAGGAGCCUUCCGCAAGGACACUCGUAGAGGUGCUGCAUGGCUGUCGUCAGCUCGUGUCGUGAGAUGUUGGGUUAAGUCCCGCAACGAGCGCAACCCUUGUUUGCUGUUGCCAUCACGUUAUGGUGGGCACUCUGCAAAGACUGCCGGUGAUAAACCGGAGGAAGGUGGGGAUGACGUCAAGUCAGCAUGGCCUUUAUGUCUGGGGCUACACACGUGCUACAAUGGCCGGUACAAACCGUCGCGAUACCGUAAGGUGGAGCUAAUCGGAGAAAGCCGGUCUCAGUUCGGAUUGUAGGCUGCAACUCGCCUGCAUGAAGUUGGAAUCGCUAGUAAUCGCGGAUCAGCACGCCGCGGUGAAUACGUUCCCGGGCCUU
rnacentral:rRNA from 1 species